GGAGAAAAUGCUGUCACCCCUGUCACCGAUGAGGACACUCAGGCCCAGAGAAGGCAGGUAAAUUUCAGCUAAGGAAGACUUCUUCCCGAGUCCAAGACUGCAGCGAGUCGUGGGGUUUUCAUCAUGACUUUGCCCUCCCAGCUCUUGGGGGCCAACUUAGAAUGGUCCAUCAGCAUCUGCACCGACCAGCUGUUUCCCGUUCGCACCACCGAGGGACGCGCGCGCGACGGAACUGAGAGGCGCAGAGGGUUAUCGUGAGGCCUGAAGGUACUGCCGGGGUUUCAUCAUCAUGUGCUCAUACGGAAAAGGUCAUCUCCUGUUGCCACCUCCAUCCACCAGACACAGAGAGAAUGGAUUUGAGAUAAACAGAAGCCUUCAGGGAGAAGGCCAGUGGAGUCCUGUUGUCUUCUCAAAAGAUCCACUGCCCUGCCCUUGAUUGGACUCUCAUGCUGUGUCCAUUAUGUUCUGUCUUCCUGUGUGCUUUCUGGGUUAUCAUGAAGCCUGAAGGUACUGCCAGGGUUUCAUCAUCAUGUGCUCAUAUGGAAAAUUUGAGUGGAAACUCCUCUAGGAAAUUAGAACUCUGAUGACCUCUUCAUAUGAUUUGUAUAAUGCUGGAAAAGUGAAAAACCAAUCAGUGCGUUUAAAGCAGGAGCAAGAUCUGUGGUGCAGUAGCGGGGAGCAGCGUGGGAGGCAGAGAGGUCCAGAUGGAGAGUGAGAAGUACCCAGGCGGUCACGGAAGAAGCCCCUCCUUCCAUUCCCCCAGCCCAGCAUCCACGUGCGUCGUCGUCGGUGAAGUCACCUCCACCGCCUGGAAACUCCUCCUGCGUCCUCAAGAAGCAUUCCUCCCCACCCGUCCCGUCUCGAGCUCCUGGGACCUGGGACCACCGCUCCGCUGCGCGGCCGGGACGGGCGGACUCAACGCUUAUCUCCUCCGAGCAGGCUUUACGUCGUGGGUUCCCCCGACCCACCCGGCCGCCCACGGAGAGGAACCUACUCCCCUUCAGGCCACUUCCGGCUCCCUCCCCGCCCACUGCAGCCCGCGGGAGGCCAGAGAGGAAAGACCUGGCUUCUCUACAGUGUCCCAUCCCUGUGACGUCAGGCUCAGCCCCCAGACCCUCCUUCCCCGGGUAGGGGUGGGCAGCCUCUCUAGGACGUGGGCAGGACUUCUCCUCGCGGUGGUCUUAACCCUUCUAUUCCGGGGGCCGCGCUUCUUCGCCUGGACUGAGGAUGGGAGGCAGCGCAUUGGCUUCUGGACGGCGGGAAUCUGAUCCGCCAAAGAACGUGCGUGAGCCUUAGAGAGAGCAGGUUUUCGACAACUCCGUAUCAAAAGAGCAGGGUCUCUUACCUGGAACGCCUUGGUAUUCAAGAAAACGUUUUGUGAAUGGUUGUUUUAGGGAAGCACGGGUUCUACUGUUUUUACUUGGGUAUUGACUACAUUUAAAAUUGUACUUGACACUGCAUGAAAUAGUCUGGGUUCUUCUGGCUCCACACGUUCCCUGCUACCUUCUAGUUCUUUGAGAACCUUCAUCUUCACCUUCCUGUCCAGACCCAAGGGCCGGCUGGAGCUUCGAGCACGGACUAGACCUACUCCAUGGAUCCACUCCAGAAACGUAACCCAGCGCUGAUUUCUGAAUCUUUCCUGACGACCUCUGAAGAGACUUCCUGGGAAGUCACAGCAGCCUCUCAUCCUUCCUUCUCAGGACUGCUAAUGAUGGGCAUCAGUGACCCGAACCCUCAUUCUGGCACCAGCUACUCGGCCCCUCUACCAGAGGGGCUGUUCCAGGAGCGGUACAGAGAUGAGAAAACCCUGCAAGAGAGUCAGUGGGAAAGGUCAGCAUCCCCUCAGAGGAAGAAAACAUUCCUGGGGCACAUGAGACAGAGACACCUCGAUCGCAUGGCACCUUAUUGGGUUGAAAGGGAAGCCAGAAUCUCUUCCUCAGGGGAUAGGGUUCAGGAUAGAUUCCGAUGUGAAUGUCGAUACUGCCAGAGCCGUAGGCCGAAUGUUUCUGGGAUGCCUGUUGAGAGGAAUGGGGCCCCACAUCCUUCCUCCUGGGAAACGCUAGUACAGGGCCUCAGUGGCUUGACCCUCAGCCUAGGUACCAACCGGCCCGGCCUUCUGCCAGAAGGGGUGCUCCAGCAGCAGGAGAGGGAGGAGGAGCUCCAACUGGAGAUGCGGCAGGAAAGUAAAAGAAUGUUUCAGAGGCUCCUAAAACAGUGGUUAAAAGAAAACUGAGACUCUCAUCCUCACAUGACAGAGAUCUGAACGGAUUCAGACACGGAUGUUGGUGUUGCCAGAUCCUGGGCGUGGAUUCCUUUUGGGGACCAAAGAGUAAGCUGUAGUCGGAGGAGUAACAAGACCAGAGUUGUGACUGGAAAUCCCAUCAGCAUGAGCCUUGAUCCGAUCCCAGAAAGGUCCUAAACUUUCCUGCCUGGAAUUUCUGGAUCACUCUGGGGCAUUCUGUGGCAAGGGAGACUGCAUACCAGUGGUCCUUAACUCCUGUAAUAUGGCUCCCAUGAUGCAUGUUGUCGCUUGCACACCCUGGAUCUCUGUCUUUCCUCCCUACUUUGUGUCAAUAAGAUAUAGAGUGUCUCUGUAGUGAGAAUGCCUUGUUGCUGUCCGUGUGCUUGUGUGCCAUUUUACUGACUGCCUCCAAGAAACAGCACUAGGUGUGGUGGAAUGCACAGGUGCUAAACUUAGAUCCAGUUUCAAAGAUCUGAGGCUAAACAAAGUGUGGAAAAGGGGUGUGGAACUAGAACUUGGGGGUUCACCAUUGUAUCAUAUGGUUUGUAUAAGCUAUUACGAGUAUGACAAGCUUAAAUGUAGCUGUUUCCCUGCUCCUUAACAAUGAGUAGUCUUUCCCCUUGAAGGAAUUUCUGACGGAAAUUCUGAAGGAAUUUCUCAUCGUCGAUACCAAAUAAACAUACGCAUAAAAGGAAACUAACUUUAGAAUUCAGGUUUGUUCAUCCAUAUUGUUUUGUUCUUUGUUAGAUCUGAGAUCACUACAUUUAAAUCCCAGAGCAGUAGAUCCGAGUGUAUCAAGAGGAGCUCUAAACUGUGCGCAUUUGGAACAGGGGUGGAGGGAGGGCACCAGAGAACACCUGGUGUUCAAGUCACUCUUUGUGGCCCUGCAGCGAAACCAGCCUUCAGAUCACCCAGACAGAGCAAAUGGAAGAGAGUCCUCCUGCCCACGGAGAGUUGGAAGCAGAGUCUGCUGCUCACAGUAGGAGAAUCCAAUGAUGUGUACCCAGGAAGUGACCAUGCAAUUCUUCUGAACUGAAAAUAAACUCUGCUCUCCGUUAGUCUGUGUCUUCAUGUAGUCCCCGGAGCUGUAUUGUUGCAAAAAUCUGUGAGUCUUCUGCAGACAGAAGUGGCUUGAGAACAGGUACCUUUAUUAGAUUCUGAACUUGUGAUCUCAUCAGAGAGCUUGGGAGCUCAACCGACCCUGCCAGGCUUGUCUCCCAGCUCGAGGGGAGAAGGUAAGUAAAGCAGGGCUUUUCUUUCUUGAAACUCAAAGCCCUGAAUUCAGACUGGUCAUUUGCGGUGUGUUUAGAAGGAGUAACAUGGCAUUUCAUGUUUAUUGGUUGUUUACUAGGUGUCAGACAAUAUUCUACAUAUUUCCAUAGGUCAGCUUAUUUAAUCCUCUCCCACAGACCCAUCAUUUAGCAAGAUUCAAUCCCAAUUUAUGAAGUGGGAAAGCAGAGUACAGAGCAGUUAGGGGACUUGCUCAGGGUCACACAGGCAAUAAGAGGGGGGUGGCACGCAAACCUAGGCCGACUGGAUUCAGAGCCCACGCUCUGAACCAUUCACCGAACCGUAACCUCCUUCAAGGCUGGGGGUGGAGUGCGAAGAGCUGGUGACUUCAGUGGACGAUUCACUGCUGGCAGCACCAAGUCUGGGUAAGAUACAUCAUUGGGUCCUCCCCACGGUGCACUGGGGCAGGGAUAAUAUCCCCACCUGGCAGAGUUCACAGAGGUUGUAAAGUGAUGGCCUCACUCCAGCAGCCACGUCAGGUCAAUCCUGCCACCCACAGUCUAGCCACUCAUGAAGGUUGGCAUUGUCUCUCUACCUCCCCGACUCCAUGCGAGGCUGGCUGUUGGGGCGGGGAAGUGAGGAGGAAUUGCAGAGCCCAUCCCUGCCCUCGGGAGUUGAGCCUUUAAUCAGAGGGAGAUCUGACACCCAUAGAUAUGGUAGACAGCCCGUCAUUGAUCCCCUGUGCGGCUCGGUUGCCAGGAGAUGAGAGGAGUGAGAAGGAUCAUGGUGGGAUGAAGUGGACACUGGGGGCUUGCUGAGGGAGGUCCUAACUGCAGAGUUGCCCAGUGGGCUCCAGGAGGGCGCAUGGAUAUGGGUGGGCGGGUGUAACUGAGGGAGUCAGCGGCACCACCCCUUACCCAUCUCCAAGUCUUUGUCCCCACUCUCGUGUAUGGGGUGUAGGAGGAGAUCUGGGUGUCACACCUGAGACAGCAUACUGUCCCAAGUUACAGACCAGGAGCUGGAAUCCAGUGAUGUCCAGAAAUGUCCAGCAGGUCAAAUUCUAGACCAGAGACCGAGCCACAGGCACAAGGAGGCAAGAAAAUAUUGGGAGAAAGUGGGCUUAAAAUGUAAUGUCCAGAUAGAAAAUCAGAAUGUACCUAUUGCAAGUAAAGAAAUGAAAUUGUUAAAUUAAAAACCUUCCCACAAAGGAAAGCCCUGGGCCAGCUGGGUUUGUUGGUGAAUUCUAUCAAACGUCCAAAGAAGAAAUAACACCCAUCCUUCACAGACUCUUCCAGAAUGGAGAGGAGGAAGGAACAUGUCCUAACUCAUCCUAUGAGAACAAUAUUACCCUGCUACCAAAGCCAGACAUGACGUCACAAGAAAACUAUAGACCAAUAUCCAUCAUGAAUAUCGAUACAUAAAUCCUCCUCAAAAUAUUAGCAAACCCAAUCCAGCAGCAUUUACAAAGGAGUAUGCAACACAACCGAGAUUUAUCCCACGAUUGCAGUACUGGUUUAACAUUCAACUUCAAUUAAGGUAAUACACCACAUUAAUAUAAUAAAGGACAGAAACCAUCCGAUCGUCUUGACAGACAGAGAAAGCAUUUGACAAAAUUCAAGACCCAUUCAUGAUAAAAAAAACGCUCAACCAACUAGAGCUAGAAGGGACCGUCCUCAAUCUGAUGAAGGACACCUACGAGAAACCUACUGCUCCCAUCACGUCGUAUUUAUUAGUGAAAGAAUGGAUGCUUUCUCCUUGAGAUCCAGACCAAGGCAAGGAUGUCUGCUUCCCCUACUGCAAUCCAACAUUGACUGAAGGUUCUAGCCAGUGCCGUCAUGCAAGACAAAGAAAUGAAAACAUGGAGAAAUUAGAAAUGAAUCCUAUGUCCACGCAAAGACUUGUACUCAGAUGUUCCCAGCAGCACUGUUCGUAAUCGCCCAAAAGCAGAAACAAUCUACUGAACGGAUAAACAAAAGGCGGUAUUCCCCUACGGUAGAAUACCACUGAUCCGUAAAAAAAAAAGGGCGAAGUUCUGAUUUCUGCUACAACUGGAAUGAGCCUCCAAAGCAUUAUGCUAUGCGAAAGAACCCAGACACAAAAUGCCACUUAUUGCAUGAGUCGAUUAAUAUGAAAUGCAAAGAAAGGGCAAAUCUACAGAGACAGAAAUUAGAUUAGAGGUGCCAGGGCCUGGAGGUGAUAAUGGGGAUUGACUGCUAAUGGGCACACGGGAUCUUUUUGGGGUGAUGGAAAUGUUCUAAAACUGGAUUGUGGUGAUGGUUGCGUACGUCUGUAAAUUUACUAAAAGUCGCUGCAUUGGACCCUUGAACUGGGUGCAUUUUGUGGUAUGUAAAUUAUACUUCAGCAGAGCUGUUUAGAAAAUGUAAUGCAAAUGUCCACGGAAGUCAUGCAGGAAAAGGUCCGCCGUUGCUUAUAUAGCACUAAGGAACCCCCCUCUCUCGUUCCAUGUUCUGGGUCCUGCCUACACGACCCAUCAUCGCCUGCCUCCUCCGUGUGUACUAGAUGCUCCCGCCAGACAGAGUCACUGUGCACAUCAGGGUAGCAGGUGUGCUGGUGAGUGCACACAUGUGCGCGUGUUUCUCUGUGUGUUCACGCGCAGGCGCCCUUUGGGUGAACACGAUGGUUGACUCGCAAUUCCAUGGCUGGCGGCAGGCUCCCAUCAUCCACCCUGGGUCUGAAAUUACACUUGGGUGUUUUUCUAUUCUUCAUGAAUCCCCUGGACCUGGCUCAGUUUCCCUGGUAACCAACCUCAGCCCUUAGCUUCAACCUCUGGUCACAGCAAGACAUGUAGAGUGGUGAGGGGGGCUUGUCCCCCCAUAGGGCCCCCUGCCCGAGCUCAGCGACCCAGUGGGGAUGCGCAGCAGAGCAGUGACCAAGACAACGGAACUCUAGCCGCCUUUCCACCCCAAGGCCGUUCUCCCUUCCCUCCACCUGCCUGGGGGUCAGGUAAGGAAGGGGACAUUGGGGCAUAAACACACUCCCGAGUCCUUGAAAUUGUUCUAAACAUGGCUGUAAAAUAAAGUAAAUAUGUCAAAAAUACGUCUCGAAAGAGAAGAUACAUAUUAACUUUUUUAAAAAAUUCAGAAAUGACAAACAUGGCUCUAAAGUCCAAAAUUCUAUUUAAAACCACGACAGGUGAAGCACGGUGUGUGCUUAUGCUUCUCAACCUCGGAGGCGCAUCAGAUCUCCCCUGGAGUGGUUUUAAAAGAACAGAUGGUGGCGCACCAUCCCCAGAGAGUCUGAAUUAGUAGGUCUGGAAUGUGGCCCUGGCAUGAGCAUUACUGAGCAAAACUUCUCCUACGAAAGCCUAGAUUGCAGCUGUGGAAACAAAACCUUCCUUAUAGGAGGAAACCUAAAAUCGGAGAUUUGAGACUUCUCUUUACAAGGAAAGCAGGUUUUCAUCAUUACCUGCUGUGCUUGGCAGAUGUCUUAGGAAAGGAAAAAACAUGACAAAGCAAAUGCGUGUUUUUAGACUGACGCUGUACUUGCUGUUGUCCAUGUUCCUGAAAUCAAAAUUUUGAGGUUAAAACCCUGCAUUUGCUAAUGAAACAUUUAAGCUUUUAUUUCUUGUCAAGCCAUUGUGCUUAGUUACUUUAAAAUUUGUAAAACAUUGUAUAGAUAACUCCAUGAGACACGAGUCACAAUAGUUCUUUGAAAAUUACAGAUGACUAGGUUUGUAUCAGUUGAUGUAGAAGG